AUUGAACGCUGGCGGCAUGCCUUACACAUGCAAGUCGAACGGCAGCACGGGAGCAAUCCUGGUGGCGAGUGGCGAACGGGUGAGUAAUAUAUCGGAACGUGCCCAGUCGUGGGGGAUAACGUAGCGAGAGUUACGCUAAUACCGCAUACGAUCUAAGGAUGAAAGCGGGGGAUCGCAAGACCUCGCGCGAUUGGAGCGGCCGAUAUCAGAUUAGGUAGUUGGUGAGGUAAAGGCUCACCAAGCCGACGAUCUGUAGCUGGUCUGAGAGGACGACCAGCCACACUGGGACUGAGACACGGCCCAGACUCCUACGGGAGGCAGCAGUGGGGAAUUUUGGACAAUGGGCGCAAGCCUGAUCCAGCAAUGCCGCGUGCAGGAUGAAGGCCU
rnacentral:rRNA from 1 species